rnacentral:rRNA from 1 species
AGCAGCCGCGGUAAUUCCAGCUCCAAUAGCGUAUAUUAAAGUUGUUGCAGUUAAAAAGCUCGUAGUUGAAUUUCGGGAUCAACAUGUCGGUCGUGCCUCCGGUACGUACUGGCAUCGUUAAUUUCUACCUUCUGACGAACCAUGAUGUCAUUAAUUUGGUGUCAUGGGGAAUCAGGACCGUUACUUUGAAAAAAUUAGAGUGUUUAAAGCAGGCACACGCUUGAAUACAUUAGCAUGGAAUAAUGAAAUAGGACGUUUGACCCUAUUUUGUUGGUUUCUAGGAUCGACGUAAUGAUUAAUAGGGAUAGUUGGGGGCAUUAGUAUUCAAUUGUCAGAGGUGAAAUUCUUGGAUUUAUUGAAGACUAACUACUGCGAAAGCAUUUGCCAAGGAUGUUUUCAUUAAUCAGGAACGAAAGUUAGGGGAUCGAAGACGAUCAGAUACCGUCGUAGUCUUAACCAUAAACUAUGCCGACUAGGGAUCGGAUGAUGUUAAUUUUUUAAUGACUCAUUCGGCGCCG